UACGUAGGUGGCAAGCGUUACUCGGAAUCACUAGGCGUAAAGCGCGGGUAGGCGGUUUGGUAAGUCUGUUGUGAAAGCUCCUGGCUCAACUGGGAGAGGGUCAACGGAAACUACCAGGCUCGAGUGCGGUAGAGGAAGCUGGAAUUCCCGGUGUAGCGGUGAAAUGCGUAGAUAUCAGGAGGAACACCGGUGGCGAAGGCGGGUCUCUGGGCCGAUACUGACGCUGAGGAGCGAAAGCGUGGGGAGCGAACAGG
rnacentral:rRNA from 1 species